rnacentral:tRNA from 1 species
GGGUGUGACUUAGUGGUACAGCAUGUGCCUAAUGUGUUCAAGGCCCUGGGUUCAAUCCCCAGCACCC